GACUAUGAGACCAAUCUGGCUGUGACACCUGUUAUCUUAUUAAUUGCCAGGGCUUAUUGGGCUGAUCCAGUUGGCUUGGUGGGAGUUCCCUUCCCUUUCACCACUCCACGUGUAUCUUUCCAGGUACUGAGUGCCAGGUUCAAGAGGUAGACCUUUCCUGAUAAAGGAGGACUAAUCUUCAGCCAAGGGCAUACAAGGAGCUGCACCUCCUUGCCUGCACCCUUUAACGAGCUCCCAACGGUUAUUUCUGAAUCUGCUGUGCCCCACUCCCAUGUCAUGGCAGCUGCUGCCUGUC
rfam:Rattus norvegicus chromosome 7, whole genome shotgun sequence.